rnacentral:rRNA from 1 species
CAAUAGCGUAUAUUAAAGUUGUUGCAGUUAAAAAGCUCGUAGUUGGAUUUCUGGUGGGAGCGAUCGGUCUGGCGCUUAGCGCGAGUACUUGCAUCGUCUCCGGCCAUCCUUGGGGAAAGUCUGUCUGGCAUUAAGUUGUCGGGCAGAGGAUCCUCAUCGUUUACUGUGAAAAAAUUAGAGUGUUCAAAGCAGGCUUAUGCCGUUGAAUAUAUUAGCAUGGAAUAAUAAGAUAGGACUUUGGUACUAUUUUGUUGGUUUGCGCACCAAAGUAAUGAUUAAUAGGUACAGUUGGGGGUAUUCGUAUUCCGUUGUCAGAGGUGAAAUUCUUGGAUUUACGGAAGACGAACUACUGCGAAAGCAUUUACCAAGGAUGUUUUCAUUAA